rnacentral:misc_RNA from 1 species
UCUCCGUAGGUGAACCUGCGGAGGGAUCAUUAAGAAUUGAACAGCAGUGUCUGGCACUGUUGCCCAUUCUAACCCUUUGUGAACUACAACUCUGUUGCUUCGGGGGCGACCCUGCCGUUCGCGGCGCGGCGCCCCCGGGGGAAAUCAAACACUGCGUCAAUUUGUGUCGGAGUACUUGUUAAUGAACAAAACUUUCAACAACGGAUCUCUUGGUUCUGGCAUCGAUGAAGAACGCAGC